rnacentral:rRNA from 3 species
CCUUUAAGGGUCCUGAAGGAACGUUGAAGACGACGACGUUGAUAGGCCGGGUGUGUAAGCGCAGCGAUGCGUUGAGCUAACCGGUACUAAUGAACCGUGAGGCUUAACCUUAC